AUUGAACGCUGGCGGCAGGCCUAACACAUGCAAGUCGAGCGAGCGGAGGACGGGUGAGUAAUGUAUGGGGACUGCCCGAUAGAGGGGGAGAACUACUGGAAACGGUAGCUAAUACCGAAUACUAUCGGAUAACCAAUCUGGGAUUGGCUAGUUGGUGAGGUAAUGGCUCACCUAGGCGACGAUCCCUAGCUGGUCUGAGAGGAGGAUCAGCCACACUGGGAUGUGGACACGGCCCAGACUCCUACGGAGGCAGCAGUGGGGAAUAUUGCACAAUGGGCGCAAGCCUGAUGCAGCCAUGCCGCGUGUAUGAAGAAGGCCCUAGGGUUGUAAAGUACUUUCAGUCGGGAGGCGUUACCGACAGAAGAAGCACCGGCUAACUCCGUGCCAGCCGCCGCGGUAAUUC
rnacentral:rRNA from 1 species